CCUGCCCAAGAGAUCGGGAUAACACCUGGAAACAGAUGCUAAUACCGGAUAACAACAGAUGAUGCCUAUCAACUGUUUAAAAGAUGGUUCUGCUAUCACUCUUGGAUGGACCUGCGGUGCAUUAGCUAGUUGGUAGGGUAACGGCCUACCAAGGCGAUGAUGCAUAGCCGAGUUGAGAGACUGAUCGGCCACAUUGGGACUGAGACACGGCCCAAACUCCUACGGAGGCAGCAGGC
rnacentral:rRNA from 1 species